CUGAAACCCGCGUUAGCUUUUGCAGCGGCAUCCUUUUUUAAGGGGCCUUGGGCCGUUUAAAAAAGAUAUAGCGGAAAGAGCGACCCGUU
rnacentral:sRNA from 1 species